rnacentral:rRNA from 1 species
UACGUAGGGGCCAAGCGUUAUCCGGAAUUAUUGGGCGUAAAGGGCUCGUAGGCGGUUUGUUGCGUCGGGAGUGAAACCCAGGGCUUAACUCUGGGCUUGCUUCCGAUACGGGCAGACUUGAGGUAUUCAGGGGAGAACGGAAUUCCUGGUGUAGCGGUGAAAUGCGCAGAUAUCAGGAAGAACACCCGUGGCGAAGGCGGCUCUCUGGGACGGUACUGACGCUGAGACGCGAAAGCAUGGGGAGCGAACAGG